GUCGAGCGGAACGAGUUAUCUGAACCUUCGGGGAACGAUAACGGCGUCGAGCGGCGGACGGGUGAGUAAUGCCUAGGAAAUUGCCCUGAUGUGGGGGAUAACCAUUGGAAACGAUGGCUAAUACCGCAUAAUGCCUACGGGCCAAAGAGGGGGACCUUCGGGCCUCUCGCGUCAGGAUAUGCCUAGGUGGGAUUAGCUAGUUGGUGAGGUAAGGGCUCACCAAGGCGACGAUCCCUAGCUGGUCUGAGAGGAUGAUCAGCCACACUGGAACUGAGACACGGUCCAGACUCCUACGGGAGGCAGCAGUGGGGAAUAUUGCACAAUGGGCGCAAGCCUGAUGCAGCCAUGCCGCGUGUGUGAAGAAGGCCUUCGGGUUGUAAAGCACUUUCAGUCGUGAGGAAGGUAGUGUAGUUAAUAGCUGCAUUAUUUGACGUUAGCGACAGAAGAAGCACCGGCUAACUCCGUGCCAGCAGCCGCGGUAAUACGGAGGGUGCGAGCGUUAAUCGGAAUUACUGGGCGUAAAGCGCAUGCAGGUGGUUUGUUAAGUCAGAUGUGAAAGCCCGGGGCUCAACCUCGGAAUUGCAUUUGAAACUGGCAGACUAGAGUACUGUAGAGGGGGGUAGAAUUUCAGGUGUAGCGGUGAAAUGCGUAGAGAUCUGAAGGAAUACCGGUGGCGAAGGCGGCCCCCUGGACAGAUACUGACACUCAGAUGCGAAAGCGUGGGGAGCAAACAGGAUUAGAUACCCUGGUAGUCCACGCCGUAAACGAUGUCUACUUGGAGGUUGUGGCCUUGAGCCGUGGCUUUCGGAGCUAACGCGUUAAGUAGACCGCCUGGGGAGUACGGUCGCAAGAUUAAAACUCAAAUGAAUUGACGGGGGCCCGCACAAGCGGUGGAGCAUGUGGUUUAAUUCGAUGCAACGCGAAGAACCUUACCUACUCUUGACAUCCAGAGAACUUUCCAGAGAUGGAUUGGUGCCUUCGGGAACUCUGAGACAGGUGCUGCAUGGCUGUCGUCAGCUCGUGUUGUGAAAUGUUGGGUUAAGUCCCGCAACGAGCGCAACCCUUAUCCUUGUUUGCCAGCGAGUAAUGUCGGGAACUCCAGGG
rnacentral:rRNA from 1 species